rnacentral:rRNA from 1 species
GCUGGUGGCGAUAGCGAAGAGGUCACACCCGUUCCCAUGCCGAACACGGAAGUUAAGCUCUUCAGCGCCGAUGGUAGUCGGGGGUUUCCCCCUGUGAGAGUAGGACGCCGCCAGUG